UACGUAGGUGGCAAGCGUUGUCCGGAAUUAUUGGGCGUAAAGCGCGCGCAGGCGGUCCUUUAAGUCUGAUGUGAAAGCCCACGGCUCAACCGUGGAGGGUCAUUGGAAACUGGGGGACUUGAGUGCAGGAGAGGAGAGUGGAAUUCCUGGUGUAGCGGUGAAAUGCGCAGAUAUCAGGAAGAACACCAAUGGCGAAGGCAGCUCUCUGGGACGGUACUGACGCUGAGACGCGAAAGCGUGGGGAGCGAACAGG
rnacentral:rRNA from 1 species